GCAGUUCAUAUAGGGCUGAGGAUAGGUCAAGUAGAGACUGACUAGACUACUGCUGCUCAGAUAGGGCUAAGGAUAGGACUAGUAGAGACUGACUAGAGACCACUACUGCUCAGAUAGGGCUGAGAAUAGGUCAAGUAGAGACUACUGCUGCUCAGAUAGGGCUGAGGAUAGGUCAAGUAGAGACUACUGCUGCUCAGAUAGGGCUGAGGAUAGGUCAAGUAGAGACUACUGCUGCUCAGAUAGGGCUGAGGAUAGGUCAAGUAGAGACCACUGCUGCUUUGAUAGGGCUGAGGAUUGGUCAGGUAGAAAAUACUGCUCAGAUAGGGCUGAGGAUAGGUCAAGUGGAGACUAACUAGAGACUACUGAUGUUCAGAUAGGGCUGAGGAUAGGUCAAGUAGAGACUGACUAGACUACUGCUGCUCAGAUAGGGCUGAGGAUAGGUCAAGUAGUGACUACUGCUGCUCAGAUAGGGCUGAGGAUAUGUCAAGUAGAGACUGACUAGAGACUACUGCUGCUCAGGUAGAGCUGAGGAUAGGUCAAGUAGAGACUACUGCUGCUCAGAUAGGUCAAGUAGAGACUGACUGGAGACUACUACUGUUCAGAUAGGGUUGAGGAUAGGUCAAGUAGAGACUACUGCUGUUCAGAUAGGGCUGAGGAUAGGUCAAGUUGAGACUGACUAGAGACUACUGCUGCUCAGAUAGGGCUGAGGAUAGGACAAGUAGAGACUACUGCUGUUCAG
rnacentral:lncRNA from 1 species